rnacentral:tRNA from 1 species
GCUCCCGUAGUUCAAUGGAUAGAAUACAGGUUUGCGGAACCUGAGAUCUAGGUUCGACUCCUAGCGGGAGCA